rnacentral:lncRNA from 1 species
GGGACCCAGGGACUGGGAGGCCGGUUGGGGCUGGGCUCAGGGGCCGAGACCUAGCUGGGCUUGGGGCGGGGCCGAGACGGAGCGAGGGGUCCAGGGUGUGGGAAACGGGGAGGGGUUUGAGGAGGGGAUCGGAAUGUGGCUCAAGUUCGGGAGGCGUUACCUGCGGAGGGUUUGAGGCAGGCCCAAGAGCGAGCCCAUGGUCUUCCGACGCGGGGCCAGGGGCGGGCCCCAGGAUCCGGAGCUUCGUGCGGGGCCGAGUCCAGGUUUGGGGCCCGGGAGGCGGGGCCAGUUAGGGCGACUGUCCCUGGGAUCGUCGGGUCAGGCCUUGGGCUAACGUAGGCACUCUCGCAGUUCCUCCGCCUUCAGGAAGGUCUUUUCAGCAGGGGCCUUACGGGUGCAUGCUUCGGUCCUGGAGGCCUUAUCCUAGCCUCCUCUCCAUCAGCGCCACCCGUCUGGGGCCCGAAAGGAGGGAGCUUUCCCUCUGUCCCCCAGCCUUUGGACUGUCACCAAACAAGCCAUUCGUUCAUCAAAUACUUUUUAAGCGCCUACCAUGUGCCUGACAAGGGAGAUGUAACGGUGAGAAAAACUAGGUGUGGUCCAGGCCCUUCAGGGGCUCAGGUGCUCGUGGAAGAAGUGGACAUUGAAGUACUUAUCACACAAAUGAGGAUAAAAGUACGAUAGCGAUAUCUACCACGAAGCUGUUGUUCCCCACCAGAACCAAAUGAGCGCAAGAUCUGACAAAGAAAAAAAAAGGUUCAUCUUUUAUUCCUCCAAACACUUUCAUUUAAAUCAAGAGGAUGGGAUGUGGUUAUUGCUGUGUUUUUAGACAGAAUCAACGGUUUCUGGGUCUGAGAUGUUGCAUACACCUUCUCAGUCCCUGUAUCCUGAGAUGGAGUCACCUGAGAAUCCACAGCAAGUCCUAACCAGGGAUGGGUCUGGGUGAUUAAGGAAGGUUGGCUUCAGAACUGGGCCAGGGGCACUGCUUUGCUUUUGCUGUUUUGAUCAGCUCUCUGCCUGAAGGAGACAAGAAAAACCAACGGGAACAGCCCAGUAAAGGCGCCAUUCCCCAUUUUACAGCUGGGGAAACUGAGUUACAGAGCUUGUCUGCACUGAGUCAUCAGGAGCAAAUGCUAGAUCAGAUAGGGUCUCUCUCUCUGCCACCCAGGCCAGAGUGCAGUUGACGCAGGGCAGGGGAGCCCCGAAGUGGAGCAUAGUGUGUCCGGAACUGGUGGGUUCUUGGUCUCACUGACUUCAAGAAAGAAGCCGCGGACCCUCGCGUUCUACAAGGCCUGGAGCUGAUAGGAAAAACCUCCCUUCUUUCCCAAAUGGUCCCCAGCUGCCCCGUUCACUGAAGGCCCUGCAGUCAGGAACGGUCAGGACUUCACACCCAGUUGUUGUGGGUGUUUGGCCGACACGACACUUCCUCUUGUGUGAUUCAUGGACCCGCAGCAUUGCGUCACCUGGGAGCUUUUGGUAUUGAAGACUCUCAGGGCUCACCCGGAAGGACCUGCUGGGCCAGAAUCUACAUUUUAACAAGAUGCCCAGAAACUCCUGGAGGGCAGAGGCAUGCCUGCCAUCUUCAUCAUUGCAUUACCACCACCCAACACUAUCGGGGGACCUGCCCUGAUAAUCAGAGUCUUCCUCUGUCGCCUAGGCUGGAGGGCAGUGGCAUGAUCUCAGCUCACUGAAACCUCCACCUCCCGGGUUCAAGCGAUUCCCCUGCCUCAGCCUCCUGAGUAGUGUGGGACUACAGGCGUAUUCACCAUGCCCGGCUAAUUUUUUUUAUUUUAGUAGAAACGGGGUUUCACCAUGUUGGCCAGGAUGGUCUCAAUCUCCUGACCUCGUGACUCGCUCGCCUCAGCCUCUGAAAGUGCUGGGAUUACAGGUGUGAGCCACUGCGCCUGGCCUAUAUGAAUUUUAUAUUUACCUGCUCCCUUCACCAGGAGAUCAUGCUGCUGUGAUGUCGAGUUUUCUUAACAGCAUAAGGAAGACUUGCCCUCUUGCCCUAUCAAAGAGAAUAGUUUUGGAGGGGAGAAGUGGGACCAAAAAAGAUGCAGUUUUCAUUUGUAUUGGGAAAUGUGAAAAUAAAAUUGACAACUCUUUUAGUUAAAAACAAAAAAAAGAAAAGGAAACAAGAUGUGGGGCUGCCAUAUGUAAUACCGUGGAUUCCACGGAUCUUCUACUCUGGAGGCAAAUAUUAUCUUUGCUGAAGCCAGACCAACCUGACACAAAGACCUUUUGUUUUUUUAAUGUGACUGUGUUUUAUUUUAGAAUGUGUAAUUCACUUUAGAAGGGCAAAGUACCUGUCUGGGGAAGACUAUUUAAUUUCCUGCAUUUAUUUAGAAUGUUGGCUGAUGUUAUUAUGAAGGGAAACAGCUCUAACAACUGAGUGCCCCCCACAUAGCCACAGCUCAUGAGUUCACGGGGCAAAGGAAAUGAACAGCAGCCUCCUAAUAGCCAGCCUUCUUUGUGAUGUGGAAAUAAUUAUCAGCAUGUAAAAGACUAUAUAUAUAUUCAACAAUUCUGAUCCCCUGAAAAAUUCAAAUCUACAACUGAUUUGCUUCCUGGGCUCCUGAAAACAACUUUGUCAAAAUUGUUCAGAAAUAUAAUCAGCCAAUCGUUGCCCCUUGGGGACGCAGGAUAAAGCAAGUCAGCCAUGACCAAUGAGGAGUCGGCCGUGCACAAUUACAUGCAGACCUGCAGGACAUCGAGUCCCUGCUAUGGUCCCUCCCCAGUCAGACCCCCAUUGCCUGGGCUGCAGCCAGAAGCAUUCAGGCACAAGUGCAUUCAACAAAUACUUAUUUAAUUGUAUUGGUGGUUAGAGGGUUGCGAUUGAUUAAGGCACAUUAAUGGAUCCGUGUCCUCCCUGUAUCCAAGAUUCUGCCAUUUGUCUCUGCAGUUCCUCCCACUGAAGAAUCGGAGUAUAUUUCUCCAGUCCCUAAUGUUGGGUUUAGUCAUGUGUCUAGCUUUGGCCACUGGAAUAUUAAUCUGUAUGACCAAAAACUUGGAAAGUGUGAAUUCAUUUCUGCUCACUCACUCCUGCUAUCACCAUGAGAACAAGCCCAGGCCAGACUGCUGCUUCCAGCAGAAGAGACAGCAAGAGCAACGUCGAGCUUCCCAGACAUGCUCAUGCUAGAUUGACCAAUCCUCAGCUGACCCAUAGAUCCAUGAAAAUAAACGAUUGUUGUAUUAAGCCA